ACAUGAUGAAUGCGCAUGAAGGUCUAGGGUUUUGCAUUUCCAGAUUUCAUUUGAUCUUCAUGAGCCGUGCCUGCAUGUGUUUUCUUGUUUCUAUUCAUGCGUUGGUCCACGUCAGCACACACAUGGCCUUGUGAUUGGUUCAGAUUGAAGUGCCUUGCCACAUCUGAUUAAUGAAACGGAGCGUUUCAUUCAGUGGCGCGCAUAAUUCAAAUUCAUACAUGCUUCGAAUCCGGACCAAAG
rnacentral:lncRNA from 1 species